AUUGAACGCUGGCGGCAUGCCUUACACAUGCAAGUCGAACGGUAACGCGGGGCAACCUGGCGACGAGUGGCGAACGGGUGAGUAAUGCAUCGGAACGUGCCCAAUUGUGGGGGAUAGCCCGGCGAAAGCCGGAUUAAUACCGCAUAAGACCUGAGGGUGAAAGCGGGGGAUCGCAAGACCUCGCGCUGUUGGAGCGGCCGAUGCCGGAUUAGCUAGUUGGUGGGGUAAAGGCCUACCAAGGCAACGAUCCGUAGCUGGUCUGAGAGGACGACCAGCCACACUGGGACUGAGACACGGCCCAGACUCCUACGGGAGGCAGCAGUGGGGAAUUUUGGACAAUGGGCGAAAGCCUGAUCCAGCCAUGCCGCGUGCGGGAAGAAGGCCUUCGGGUUGUAAACCGCUUUUGUCAGGGAAGAAACGGCUUGAGCUAAUACCUCGAGCUAAUGACGGUACCUGAAGAAUAAGCACCGGCUAACUACGUGCCAGCAGCCGCGGUAACAC
rnacentral:rRNA from 1 species